rnacentral:rRNA from 1 species
AUUGAACGCUGGCGGCAGGCCUAACACAUGCAAGUCGGACGGUAGCACAGAGGAGCUUGCUCCUCGGGUGACGAGUGGCGGACGGGUGAGUAAUGUCUGGGGAUCUGCCCGAUAGAGGGGGAUAACCACUGGAAACGGUGGCUAAUACCGCAUAACGUCGCAAGACCAAAGAGGGGGACCUUCGGGCCUCUCACUAUCGGAUGAACCCGGAUGGGAUUAGCUAGUAGGCGGGGUAACGGCCCACCUAGGCGACGAUCCCUAGCUGGUCUGAGAGGAUGACCAGCCACACUGGAACUGAGACACGGUCCAGGCUCCUACGGGAGGCAGCAGUGGGGAAUAUUGCACAAUGGGCGCAAGCCUGAUGCAGCCAUGCCGCGUGUAUGAAGAAGGCCUUCGGGUUGUAAAGUACUUUCAGCGGGGAGGAAGGCGAUGUGGUUAAUAACCGCGUCGAUUGACGUUACCCGCAGAAGAAGCACCGGCUAACUCCGUGCCAGCAGCCGCAGUAA